rnacentral:misc_RNA from 1 species
UCCGAUUUGUCACCAACAUGUCAAGCCCAGGUAAGGUUCUUCGCGUUGCGUCGAAUUAAACCACAUGCUCCGCUGCUUGUGCGGGCCCCCGUCAAUUCCUUUGAGUUUUAGCCUUGCGGCCGUACUCCCCAGGCGGGGCAUUUAAUGCGUUAGCGUCGGCACGGGAGGAGUCGACACCUCCCACACCUAAUGCCCAUCGUUUACGGCGUGGACUAC